rnacentral:rRNA from 1 species
UACGUAGGGGGCAAGCGUUGUCCGGAUUUAUUGGGCGUAAAGAGCGUGUAGGCGGCCUGACAGGUCUGCUGUGAAAACUCGAGGCUCAACCUCGAGAUGUCGGCGGAAACCGUCUGGCUAGAGUCCGGAAGAGGAGAGUGGAAUUCCUGGUGUAGCGGUGAAAUGCGCAGAUAUCAGGAGGAACACCGGUGGCGAAGGCGGGUCUCUGGGCAACAACUGACGCUGAGGAGCGAAAGCGUGGGGAGCGAACAGG